GCCUGGGUGGCUCAGUGGUUGAGCAUCUGCCUUCAGCUCAGGUCGUGAUCUCGGAGACUCGGGAUCAAGUCCUGCAUCAGGCU
rnacentral:tRNA from 1 species